rnacentral:rRNA from 2 species
AACGCCGCGUGAGUGAAGAAGGGUUUCGGCUCGUAAAACUCUGUUGUUAAAGAAGAACAUAUCUGAGAGUAACUGUUCAGGUAUUGACGGUAUUUAACCAGAAAGCCACGGCUAACUACGUGCCAGCAGCCGCGGUAAUACGUAGGUGGCAAGCGUUGUCCGGAUUUAUUGGGCGUAAAGCGAGCGCAGGCGGUUUUUUAAGUCUGAUGUGAAAGCCUUCGGCUCAACCGAAGAAGUGCAUCGGAAACUGGGGAACUUGAGUGCAGAAGAGGACAGUGGAACUCCAUGUGUAGCGGUGAAAUGCGUAGAUAUAUGGAAGAACACCGGUGGCGAAGGCGGCUGUCUGGUCUGUAACUGACGCUGAGGCUCGAAAGUAUGGGUAGCAAACAGGAUUAGAUACCCUGGUAGUCCAUACCGUAAACGAUGAAUGCUAAGUGUUGGAGGGUUUCCGCCCUUCAGUGCUGCAGCUAACGCAUUAAGCAUUCCGCCUGGGGAGUACGGCCGCAAGGCUGAAACUCAAAGGAAUUGACGGGGGCCCGCACAAGCGGUGGAGCAUGUGGUUUAAUUCGAAGCUACGCGAAGAACCUUACCAGGUCUUGACAUACUAUGCAAAUCUAAGAGAU